CUCCUCUCUCAGAUAAGGAGAUGAACUUUCAUCAGUAGCGUCCGAGCACCUUCUAAAUAGGGACAGAAUGAUCGGCAAGACUUCCAGUAAUUUUGCGGAUCUCAGCAUCUCUAGAGAGAGCAGAGGAAAGCCCUCUCCCUUACUGAUAUGUGUAAGAGGAGGAAUGCCUUCUAUAGGGAGAGCUCUUUACGCGCGCGCGUGUGUGUUUUAGAUUCAAGAUCCGCGCGAGAAUAGAAAGCAGCAAUGCUUAGCGGUCAUGCUCUUAGGUAAGCCACUGGCUUUGGAUCUGCCUUGGGACA
rnacentral:lncRNA from 1 species